rnacentral:rRNA from 1 species
UACGUAGGGGGCAAGCGUUAAUCGGAAUUACUGGGCGUAAAGCGUGCGCAGGCGGUUUUGUAAGUCUGUUGUGAAAGCCCCGGGCUCAACCUGGGAAUUGCGAUGGAGACUGCAAGGCUUGAAUCUGGCAGAGGGGGGUAGAAUUCCACGUGUAGCAGUGAAAUGCGUAGAGAUGUGGAGGAACACCGAUGGCGAAGGCAGCCCCCUGGGUCAAGAUUGACGCUCAUGCACGAAAGCGUGGGGAGCAAACAGG